GUACUGACUUCGGCAGCACAUAUACUAAAAUUGGAAUGAUAUAGAGAAGAUUAGCAUGGCCCCAAGGAUGACACGCAAAUUCAUGAAGUGUUCCAUUAAAAA